rnacentral:rRNA from 1 species
UACGUAGGGUGCGAGCGUUAAUCGGAAUUACUGGGCGUAAAGCGUGCGCAGGCGGUUUUGUCAGCCAGAUGUGAAAGCCCCGGGCUUAACCUGGGAAUGGCAUUUGGGACUGCAAGGCUUGAGUGCGGCAGAGGAGACUGGAAUUCCUGGUGUAGCAGUGAAAUGCGUAGAUAUCAGGAGGAAUACCGAUGGCGAAGGCAGGCCUCUGGGCUGACACUGACGCUCAUGCACGAAAGCGUGGGGAGCAAACAGG